GUUCCGGUGGCCUAGUAGUUUGAGAGUACGCCUCGAAUGCGGGAGGUCGUGGGUUCAAUCCCCGGUCGAAUCA